UGUCAUUAAACCAAAAUGACAUUCUGUCACCUUCGCACUUGGAAAAUCAAGUUUCUGCCACUUCAAAAUACUAAUAAUAGACUUAUUUCUCAAAAAUACAUUAAAUAGCCUCGACUGGCAUGACUCAGUGGGCUGGGAGUCGCCCUGCAAAGCUAAAGGCCCCGGGUUCAAUUCCCGCUCGGGGCACAUGCCUGGGUUGCAGGUUUGGUCCGCUGGCUGGGUGGGAUGCGUAUAAGAGGCAACUGGUUGAUGUUUCUUUCCCUUUCUUUUCCUCCCUCCCUCCCUCUCUAAAAAUAAAUAAAUUUUUAAAAAUUGAUAAAAUAAACAAUAUCUUUGUUAAAUAACCCGACUGCCAACUUACGAGUAU